rnacentral:rRNA from 1 species
UACGAGGGGGGCGAGCGUUUGUUCGGAAUUAUUGGGCGUAAAGGGUGCGUAGGCGGUUUGGUAAGUCUUAUGUGAAAUCUACAGGCUCAACUUGUAGUCUGCAUGAGAAACUGCCGGGCUUGAGUGUGGGAGAGGUGAGUGGAAUUCCUGGUGUAGCGGUGAAAUGCGUAGAUAUCAGGAGGAACACCUGUGGCGAAAGCGGCUCACUGGACCAUUACUGACGCUGAUGCACGAAAGCUAGGGGAGCAAACAGG